GCCCUCAACCGAACCCAGAGAAAGAGAAUAGUGGAAAGAGUAAAAAUUCAAGUAAGAAAAUCAAGUAGAUGUGGAAAAACUAGCGGGAAAUAAUAAUUAAACAGUCAGGAAAGCUUAAAAGAAAAAAACCAGCCUUGUAUGGAGGGAAGGAGAAAUGGCGUCAGAGUAUGAAAAUAUAGCGUCAGAGAGAAAUGGGUAAGAAAAGAGGAUAGAGAGAGAGUUGCCAGCGGCGUUAAUCUCUCUCUAAAAAGCUCUCAUAUCAUAUCAAUAAAUUCUCGCCGCCUCUGNNNNNNNNUGAUCUGCUCGAGAUCUUCUCUCUCGUCGCAAAUCUGAAUGACACACUCUUGACUUCUCUC
rnacentral:misc_RNA from 1 species